rnacentral:rRNA from 1 species
AUACGGAGGAUCCGAGCGUUAUCCGGAUUUAUUGGGUUUAAAGGGUGCGCAGGCGGGAGAUUAAGUCGGCGGUGAAAUUUUGCAGCUCAACUGUAAAAGGGCCAUCGAUACUGGUUUUCUUGAGUGUGGAUGAAGUAGGCGGAAUUUGUGGUUUAGCGGUGAAAUGCAUAGAUAUCACGAGGAACUCCGAUUGCGCAGGCAUCUUACUAGGCCAUAACUGACGCUCAGGCACGAAGGGGUGGAGAUCAAACAGGAUUAGAUACCCUGGUAGUCCAGGCAGUAAACGAUGAUUACUCGCUGUUUGCGAUACACAGUAAGCGGUUUAGCGAAAGCGUUAAGUAAUCCACCUGGGGAGUACGUUCGCAAGAAUGAAGCUCAAAUGAAUUGGCGGGG